CGCGCCACAGCCUGCGUCUGGCAAUUAGUACCAAACAAAGUGCGUAGUAUUUGUCUCAACGUGUCUAAGGGAUUGAUAUGAUUUUGUUGUAGAUAUAAAAUAUAACGUAAAAAUGUAGGCUACGAAUUAUAGCACUCAGAAAAACGUUCUCUAGCAAAAAAAUGUUGCAAAAGAGACAAAAUCCCGUCCAACCUGCAGCCUACAGAAUCUUGCUUCAGUCCGGUUGAGUUCAUCAGCACUGAAGAUGAGCAGUCUGAGAGUCCUGAUCGGAUCGAACAGCCGACACAUACAAGGCUUGUCGCAUGAGAACAGAGAUUUCCUUCAGCACUCAGAGGAAAUGAUCUCUGUCAGUCUGUCCGUCAUUCAUGCAGCCUCCCCCUUCUCUUCCUCCGAGAGAUGAGAGACUAAACCCCCAGUCGGUCUGAAAGCAGUGGACCUCAUCAUCAUCACACAGCACACACUGUCGCAUGAAGAAGUGUCCGACUAAAAGAGCCUGCGGCGUUCUCUUCAGUCUCUCCAUUGCCAUAAUGGACUUGAGGGUCACGACUCGCUUCCUCCUGGAAACUCGCCUUUACUGAGAGGAGUCUUAAGAUGGGGGAUGCUGUGAACUCCCACAGCUGCAGAGUGAAGGACGGAUUUGCUGCCUGUCCCAGAGGUUCGUCUUAAAGCAACAGGGAGCGAUGAGCAGCUCUGGCUAAGGGAAAAUUACUUGCAAAAAGGGGGUCACGUAAUAAUGGCGUAGAAAGGAGGGAAGUGACAAGAGCAUUCCACUGACAGGAAAAAUAAAGGCUGCACGGAGGGGGUUUAACUUGAGGAGGAUUGGUUGGAUCUACAUUUUCUUUGGCAGUGAUCACUGUCGUCCAGUGGCAGGAUCAAUACACUCUGCAGUCAAAGGAGGGAGAGAGUUCACCGGCAGACUCAUCAGGUAGCUGCGUGUCAGAGAAAACCUGUUCUGAAGGAAGCCUUUGUUCCCGCUGCUCGUUCUUCAAAUCUCAGAUCAGGGCCAGCACUUGGGCGAGCGAGGUAAACAACAAUAAGGAUGCGAGACUGGCAGAGAGAGGAAGGGAAACAAAUGCUGACAGGUGUAAGGAUGUGGCUGAGCCCUGGCAGGGAUACAGCUGCAGCCAGUGGACAAAAACACGCUGACAGAAGACAUGAGCUCUAGGUAAAAACCACUCUGAUUUCCCCUCUUUUCCCUUCCUGAAUCUACAUUCUUCCAAACGUUUGCCCAUUGACUAGGAAAAUCUCCAUGGGCCCCUGAUGGUCCCUGGCUCGGCAUGAGGAUGCCCAGGCGCUACAGCAACGCUCAUAAAAACUCAAUUCAUCAAGACGAGCGUAAUUUGCUCCGAACGGAAAGCGCCACAAAAGGGGGCGAGCUUGUCAGCGAGACAGGUGGCUGGAGAUCUCGCUCUGAUACUGAGCGAUAUGAAUAAUAGAUUCUGCUAAAUGUACGCCAGGACCCGGGCUGUAAACACAGCUGCCUCCUUUCCCUUCCAAAAGAACAGCUUGGCUGGAUGAGAAGCCCGAGCGCUCUGCCUCCACCUGAGGACUGGGGGGGCCAGGGAG